AUGCACGCUGGCGGCGUGCCUAAUACAUGCAAGUCGAGCGAACGGACGAGAAGCUUGCUUCUCUGAUGUUAGCGGCGGACGGGUGAGUAACACGUGGAUAACCUACCUAUAAGACUGGGAUAACUUCGGGAAACCGGAGCUAAUACCGGAUAAUAUUUUGAACCGCAUGGUUCAAAAGUGAAAGACGGUCUUGCUGUCACUUAUAGAUGGAUCCGCGCUGCAUUAGCUAGUUGGUAAGGUAACGGCUUACCAAGGCAACGAUGCAUAGCCGACCUGAGAGGGUGAUCGGCCACACUGGAACUGAGACACGGUCCAGACUCCUACGGGAGGCAGCAGUAGGGAAUCUUCCGCAAUGGGCGAAAGCCUGACGGAGCAACGCCGCGUGAGUGAUGAAGGUCUUCGGAUCGUAAAACUCUGUUAUUAGGGAAGAACAUAUGUGUAAGUAACUGUGCACAUCUUGACGGUACCUAACCAGAAAGCCACGGCUAACUACGUG
rnacentral:rRNA from 1 species